rnacentral:lncRNA from 1 species
GGCAAAGAUGGGAAUUAAUUUGAAAAUAUGGUUCUGGCAGGAAUCGAACCCGGUGCAGAUCAAAAAUACGCUAAACAAAAAUAAAAUACCAAAAUGAUGGAGCUGGGAAUCGAAGCGUGUUACUGGCUAAAACGAUGCAGUUUCAUUAAUGAAGUGGCGUGUCCAGUCACCGGUCAAUGCAAACGUGGACGAGGUCAAAG